rnacentral:rRNA from 1 species
UAAAGAGCAUUUAGUGGAUGCCUAGACAGAAGAAGUAAAAGGACGUUAAACGCAACGAAACGCCAUAGAAAGGUGCGUGAAUCCUGAAAUCUAUGGAUUUCCUAAAAGGAAACUUAAAAAUUUUCAUGACCUAGUGAACUGAAACAUCUCAGUAACUAGAGGAAAAAAAAUCAACCGAGACUCCGUUAGUAGUGGUGAGCGAACACGGAUUAGGCCUUAUUCUUAUCAAGAAAAAUAUCUAAGCUAUUUGGAAAACUGCGCCAAAGAAGGUGAAAGCCCUGUAGAUGUUUUACUAGAAAAUUUAAGAAUAAAAUAAAUGAGUAAAACGAACACCUUGUUUGUUUGAAUUAGAAGGGGGACCACCCUCUAAGCCUAAGUAUAUUCUUCUGAUCGAUAGCGAACAAGUACCGUGAGGGAAAGGUGAAAAAGACUCCUAGAAAGGUAAGUGAAAGAGAUACUGAAACUGAAUGCUUACAAGCAGUCGAAGCUUUUUAAAAAAGUAACGGCGUACCUUUUGCAUAAUGGGUCAGCGAGUAAAUUUAUGAAGCAAGCCUAAGCUCUUAAGUGGAGGCGGAGUAAAAGCGAGCUUGAAAUGAGCUAUGAAAAUCUAAAAAAGUUUCAUAAAUUUGACCCGAAACCAAGCGAUCUAGUCAUGAGCAGGUUGAAAAAAUGAUAAUACGUUUUGGAGGACCGAACCCAAUCUGUGGCAAUAGAUGGGGAUGACUUGUGACUAUGGGGUGAAAAGCCAAUCGAGCUUGGAAAUAGCUGGUUUUCUGCGAAAUCUAUUGAGGUAGAGCGUAUAGCUUCUCUUUAAAAGUUAAAAGGAGGUAGAGCACUCGCUGGGUGAUGGUGGCCCAAAGCCUUACUGAUCCCAAGGAAACUCCGAAUACCUUUUUACAGGCUAUACAGACAGACUCGAGGCGCUAAGGUCUCUAGUCAAAAGGGAAACAACCCAGAUCGAACGCUAAGGUUCUAAAGCAAUUUCUGAGUGGUAAAGGAAGUUAGUAAGCUAAGACAACCAGGAGGUAGGCUUGGAAGCAGCCAUCCUUUAAGAAGCGUAAUAGCUCACUGGUCUAUGUUUAUUAGCGCCUAAAAUGUAUCGGAGCUCAAGAUAUUCACCGAAGCGGCGAUUUUACAUGAUAGAAAUCAAAUCUAUCAUGUAAAGGUAGCAGAACGUUCUGUAAAUCAUGGAAGCUUUAUUGAAAAAUAGAGUUGAGAUAUCAGAAGUGAGAAUGCUGACAUGAGUAACGACAAAUCAUGUGAAAAUCAUGAUAGCCGAAAUCCUAGGUUUUCUACAGACCGUAUUUCGAUGUAGAGUGAAUCGGCCCCUAAGACAAGAGCGAUAGCUUAUUGUUAAUGGGUACAAUGUAUUUCAAUCAUUGAUGUGAUAUCAAAUGACGGCUUCUUUUUUGUUUGACAAGAAAAUGGAUAUCUUGAAGAAGAAAAUGAAGCCCGGGAAAAAAUUUGAUUUCUGUCUUUUUUCUAAGAAAAAAGAUAACACCGUACUUAAACCGACACUGGUGGACUUGUUGAAUAAACUCAGGCUAAGAGAGAAUCAUGUUGAAGGAACUCGGCAAAUUACCUCCGUAACUUCGGAAAAAGGAGGACAUGGGUCUAAAAAACCCAUGUGGCACAAAAGAGGGGGUGGCGACUGUUACUAAAAACACAGGACUCUGCUAAGUGGUAACACGACGUAUAGGGUCUGACACCUGCCCGGUGCUGGAAACUUAACAGGAGGGGUGCUCAUUAAGACACCAUCUUAAUGGAAGCUCUAAAUGCAAGGCCCAGUAAACGGCGGCCGUAACUCUGACGGUCCUAAGGUUAAAUGAGAUUCAUUUUGCUCCUUGAGUUGCCGAACUCAAAGAGAAUCGCUAGCCUUAGUAAAACCAAACUAUAUGCUGGAAACUCCUCAAAAACUCUGUACUACUCGUUAAGAUUUUUUCUUUUCAGUAAAAAUGUACAAGACAAGGGGACAAUCAGCAGGAAAGACUCACAAGAUACUGUGAGAAUCCCAGAGACUAUAUGUUUGGGGGUUUUUUGCUCUAAUAAAAAAACACAUUUAUGAAUUUACAAUCACAAUGGAUCUAGGAUUUACUGAUGGUGAAGGAUGUUUCCAUAUUGGUAUUAAUAAAAAUCCUGAAUGAGGUGUGGAUAUCAAGUUCUUCCUGAAUUCACAAUUACUCAGCAUAAAGAGACAUCAAAGUAUUGUAUGCACUCAAAGCCUAUUUUGGUUGUGGUGUUGUUCGUGUCAAUCACGAUGAUCGUUAUUGUUAUCGUGUCCGUCAAUUUUCUCAUUCAAAGACAUUAUUGUGCCUUUUUUUGAAAAACAUAAAUUAGUCACUUUAAAACGUGUGGAAUUUGAAAAAUUUCGUCGUGUCUUAUUGUUGAUGGAACAAAAGCAACAUCUGACAGUGGAUGGAUUUCAAAAAUUCAAGAAAUCCAACACACUAUGAAUAGAAAAAAGCAUAAAAAUUCAUAAUCGAGCAAAAAAUUCAAGAUAGAGUCCAGCUUCUAAUGAAAAUUAAAAGAGUAUCUGAGCGAAAUUCCUUGUCGGGUAAGUUCCGACCUGCAGAAUGGUGUCACGACUUCCCCGCUGUCUCCAACAUGAUCUCAGUGAAAUUGAAUUCUCCGUGAAGAUGCGGAGUUCCCGAAAGUAGACGGUAAGACCCUAUGCACCUUUACUAUAGUUUACCAUUGAAAAAAGAGUCUGAAUGAGAGAAUAGGUGGGAGUUGCUCAUUUAU